rnacentral:rRNA from 1 species
UCUCUUUGAGUAUUAUUAAUAGGGAGUUGGGCCUGCUCGGUGAGAAGAAAAAUUUAACAGCUGCGGUAUUAUAACUGUACUAAGGUAGCAUAAUAAUUUGCCUUAUAAAUUGAGGCUAGAAUGAAUGGUUUGACGAAAAUUAGGCUGUCUUUAUUUUAUUUAUUAGAAAUUAAUUUUUAUAGUGAAAAAGCUUGGAUGAUUUAAAGGGACGAGAAGACCCUAUUGAGCUUGAUUAUUAAUAUUUAAAUAUAAGGUAGGUUAUUUGUUUAUGGGUAGUAUGAAAUAUAAUAUUAAGUAUAUUUAAUGUUAGUUAAUUUUGAUUGGGGUGAUCAAGGAAUAAAAAUAAUAAUAACUUCCUUAAAGUUUUGUGAUUGUUUAUAGAUUAAUAAACCGAAAUUUUUGCUUAUAAGAUAAGUUACCAUAGGGGUAACAGCGUAAUUUUUUUUGAGAGUUCUUAUUGAGAAAAGAGAUUGCGACCUCGAUGUUGGAUUAAAAUUACCUUAGGGUGUAGAGGCUUUAUUAGGUAAAUCUGUUCGAUUUUUAAAAUUUUACGUGAUC